ensembl:lncRNA
CUGGCAUGGGAUUUGAGUCACAAGCCUACACUGUACUUUGGAGCUCCCUUCUGCCCUCGGAAGUCCUGCAAAGGGCUGUGCUUCCUUGUACGACGACGAAGAGAAAAGGUCCCCAGCAGUCUCUUACAGACAGGUGCUCUCCUGGGGGAAACCCUCCCUUAAGAGUCACUAGGGGCAGUUGGGGUUUGGGUCAGAGAGGGCAGAUGGGCGCUGUCAGGACUGGCCUUUGGGACUUUCUGGGGGUUGAGGGAGGAGGACCUCUGAUAGAAACUUAUCUUCUCCUGAAGUUUAUUUAAAGCCAGACAAUCACCUUUAUAAUGGUUGCUAUUUAUCAGCUGCCAUAUGCCAGGCCCUCAAACACUUUAUCUCAUUUAAUCCUUAAGGAACUGUGGGCAGGGGGCAUUAUCAUCCCUAAUUGACACGUGAGGCCGCUGAGACCUGGAGAAGCUAAGGAACCUGCCCCAUCGUAGGUGGAGGAGAUGCUGGACCCCUGGGCUGGAGGAAUGGACCCACCCCAUAACUUUAGGAAGAAUUUGGGACAACAUAUUUCUUUAGGCUUUUCCUUCAUCGAUAUUUUUAGGUGACUUCCAUUUAGGUGAGGCUUUAAUUUGGUUUUGAAAGGAAAUACUCUAAUGUAUCCGUCCUUGGUGCAGAACAGUAACACUGCCCCCCUGAAAUGGAAACAAUCUUGCCUUCUCCUUGCGCUCUUGCAGCCUGCCGCUUUCUGUUUAUGAACGUGGCAACCCGCCUUUCCUUCUGCCUGGGAAUGUGAAGGCUCCAGUGUUUUUAUUUUUCUAACUCCUUGUGAUAACCUUGGGCUGGGGCAUUAUGUACUCGAAGCUCGAGGCUAAAUAAAUCAGCUCACAUCCUUGAGUCCCUGUUGUCACCACAUUGGACAUUGAACUUGAUGGAGUCCCUUGAUGGAAACCAAGUGUGAACCCUGGGGAUGGGCUUGCACAACCCAAGGAAGGACAGCCAAGGACAUGAAAAUAAUCUUUGGCUCGGAGCCCCGGAAUGGAGUCGGAACAACAGAGAGCGAGUAUUUCCAGACAAGUGAGGAAAUUCCCAGAAGCUAGCGGCCAGGGAGCGUGAAUCCUGGAGAACAGGCUUGAGAUGAAGAAAGGAUUCCACAUCUCCUACGAAGCUGCUGAUUUUCCUUCCUCCCUCAGCAGCGACCCUCCGAACUUCCCACUCACAGCCUCCAGUGGGGUUAUUAAUCCCCUUCUGGUGGCACUCAACCUGCCACGAUGCUGCCUCCCAGCUGACACCACCAAUGACAGCAAUGACAACCGCUACAGGAAUUGCUUUCCAGGGUUCCAAGAAGGUUUCAGCUGCACGACGCCCUUCACUCCUCACAAUAGACACGGGAAAAUGGGUAGAUUCUAGGUUAUUUUUCUAAAGAUGCAUGUAUUAGGUUAUGGUAUACAUUUGGCUGUUUUGAGACAUCACAUAUUUGAAAAAAAGAUUUUUGCUGUUGUUGACCAAUAUACAAUAAAGCUUUUUAGGGGGUUAUAUAAUCUACACUACUUCUUUACCAUCAGAAAACCUGGGAGUCGAAUGUGAAUAUAAUAACACCAUUUACUUUCAUUUUCUCUCUACCGCAGGGUAAGAAUAAAUACCUUGCAUUUU